ensembl:lncRNA
UAACCGGAAAUGGGGAACCGGACUGGUCGUCAUGGGGACGUCCAUUGUUUAUCCUGGAAUAAUGUGGCUACGGGGAAGGCCGUGUCCAAGCUAACCUAGGGGAGUGAACCUGAACCAACGCUCAUACUCAGGGAAGGAAGCAUUACCUCAUAAAACUACACUGCCUGAAACCAAGCUCCACAACAAACCAGGAACUGCCAGACUGGGGCACUAAGGAGAGGAAACACACGGAACACAGGUGAACACAGCUGAGCGUUACUAAUUCUGCGGACCUCGAAAUCGUAACCAGCGUGAUGCAGAGCACCUCCACAGACAAACAACCCUCCAUGAAUGAAAUUCACCUGCAGCAGAGCUCCUGUUGUUAGCGGGGCGCGCUAACUCGGCUGGUCUCCACCUAAAGGCAGCGCCGGUGAGCCGACCCAGGAGGCCUCUCCACCUGGAUACCAUGUGGCGCUGCCUCCUUAAUAAUGCAUUUGUUUGCCAACAAAUAAAUAGACGCGC